UAGGCUGAAACUCGCCUACAUGAAGCUGGAGUUGCUAGUAAUCGCGAAUCAGCAUGUCGCGGUGAAUACGUUCCCGGGCCUUGUACACACCGCCCGUCACACCAUGAGAGUUGGCAAUACCCAACGUACGUGAUCUAACCCGCAAGUGAGGAAGCGUCCUAAGGUAGGGUCAGCGAUUGGGGUGAAGUCGUAACAAGGUAGC
rnacentral:rRNA from 1 species